AUUGAACGCUGGCGGCAGGCCUAACACAUGCAAGUCGAACGGUAGCACAGAGAGCUUGCUCUCGGGUGACGAGUGGCGGACGGGUGAGUAACGUCUGGGAAACUGCCCGAUGGAGGGGGAUAACUACUGGAAACGGUAGCUAAUACCGCAUAACGUCGCAAGACCAAAGUGGGGGACCUUCGGGCCUCCCACCAUCGGAUGUGACCAGAUGGGAUUAGCUAGUAGGUGGGGUAAUGGCUCACCUAGGCGACGAUCCCUAGCUGGUCUGAGAGGAUGACCAGCCACACUGGAACUGAGACACGGUCCAGACUCCUACGGGAGGCAGCAGUGGGGAAUAUUGCACAAUGGGCGCAAGCCUGAUGCAGCCAUGCCGCGUGUAUGAAGAAGGCCUUCGGGUUGUAAAGUACUUUCAGCGGGGAGGAAGGCGGUGAAGUUAAUAGCUUAACCGAUUGACGUUACCCGCAGAAGAAGCACCGGCUAACUCCGUGCCAGCCGCCGCCGUAA
rnacentral:rRNA from 1 species